GACGAACGCUGGCGGCGUACCUAAUACAUGCAAGUCGGGCGGACCGAACGAGGGCUUGCUCUUGUUUGGUCAGCGGCGGACGGGUGAGUAACAGGUGGGCAACCUGCCCGCAAGACCGGGAUAACUCCGGGAAACCGGAGCUAAUACCGGAUAACACCGAAGACCGCAUGGUCUUCGGUUGAAAGGCGGCCUUUGGGCUGUCACUUGCGGAUGGGCCCGCGGCGCAUUAGCUAGUUGGUGAGGUAGCGGCUCACCAAGGCGACGACGGGUAGCCGGCCCGGGAGGGAGACCGGCCACAUUGGGAGUGAGAUGCGGGCCAGACGCGGACGGGAGGCAGCGGUGGGAAAUGGUGCGGAGUGGGCGGAGGCAGGAUGAAGGAACGACGCGUGCGGGAUGACGGGCUUAGGGUUGGAAACGGCUUUCGCCUGUGACGAAGCGUGAGUGACGGUAAUGGGUAAAGAAGCACCGGCUAGCUACGUG
rnacentral:rRNA from 1 species